CGUGGCGGGAGUUACCAAGACUAUGCAAUUAACGCACCCAUGGCCGCGAGAGCUUUUCGAAGUCGAAGACCAUCAUUGUUUCGUGUCUGAUUGCCUUCCUAAGACUGAUGAGAUACCUGCAUUCAAAGAAGUCUGACUCUAAUUUCAAGAAACGUAUAAUGGUGCAGCUGAUUGCUCUGACUGGUGGACAGGGUAAGGAGGUUUUCAAGACUGAGGCAACUGGAUGGGCCAUGGGAAAAUCGGAGGCGACAAAGCAAUCGUGUCACCAACCACGGCAAGCUUACAAGCAAAUGUGCUUAAGAGGUGGACUAGAACACUUGGAGAAUGUGCUGCUCCCGUCAUACCGUACUAUAGAAAAAUGGGAACAGUAAUGUUUUAAGAAUCUUGGCAUCGACUUGUUACUGAAGUAUCAGUUCUCCUGACAUCCCUUCUGCACUCUGAUCCACUGCAGGUAAUUGAAAAUAAUAAAAAAAUAUAACCCUUGUGCCUGUGA